CGGGGAGUGGCUCAGCUUGGUAGAGCACCUGGUUUGGGACCAGGGGGUCGCAGGUUCAAAUCCUGUCUCCCCGA
rfam:Caldalkalibacillus thermarum TA2.A1 ctg43, whole genome shotgun sequence.